rnacentral:rRNA from 1 species
UACGUAGGGUGCGAGCGUUGUCCGGAAUUAUUGGGCGUAAAGGGCUCGUAGGCGGUUUGUCGCGUCGGGAGUGAAAACUCAGGGCUUAACCCUGAGCCUGCUUCCGAUACGGGCAGACUAGAGGUAUGCAGGGGAGAACGGAAUUCCUGGUGUAGCGGUGAAAUGCGCAGAUAUCAGGAGGAACACCGGUGGCGAAGGCGGUUCUCUGGGCAUUUCCUGACGCUGAGGCGCGAAAGCGUGGGGAGCAAACGGG